UUAACUUCAUCUUUAAACAUCUCGUUGAUUUUGAACUGGUUUUAUAAUUUGUGUUUGUUUGCUUCCUAUAAGGUUAUUGUAAUCUCAAACAAAUAUCACAAUAUUUGGUUAGUACUCAAUUUUAUGAACAUCUAUUUUUGUUAUUAUAUCAUUAUGUAAGAAAUAGUUAAAAAUAUAUAUAUUUAAACCCAAUAGAGUCUAUAAUCUAGGUUAUUGGUUUGACAGGUUAAACAGCAAAGCCAGAGUCGAUCAACAAUAACACAAUCUAAAUA
rnacentral:lncRNA from 1 species